UACAGAGACCUCAAGCGUUAUCCGGAAUCAUUGGGGCGUAAAGCGUACCGAUAGGUGGUUUAGAAAAGUUUUGGGUAAAAAGGCCAGAAGCUCAACUUCUGAGUUUGCUCAAAAUACUUCUCAACUAGGAGGGGCAAAGAGGUCCUUGGAACGAACGGUGUAGUAGUGAAAUGCGUUGAUAUCGUUCGGAACACCGAAAGCGAAGGCAGAGGACUGGGUGCCACCUGACACUACUAGGACGAAAGCGUGGGGAGCGAACAGG
rnacentral:rRNA from 1 species